UACGUAGGGGGCAAGCGUUGUCCGGAUUCAUUGGGCGUAAAGAGCUCGUAGGCGGCUUGGCAAGUCGGGUGUGAAACCUCCAGGCUCAACCUGGAGACGCCACCCGAUACUGCCAUGGCUAGAGUCCGGUAGGGGACCACGGAAUUCCUGGUGUAGCGGUGAAAUGCGCAGAUAUCAGGAGGAACACCGGUGGCGAAGGCGGUGGUCUGGGCCGAUACUGACGCUGAGGAGCGAAAGCGUGGGGAGCAAACAGG
rnacentral:rRNA from 1 species